ACAGUAUUUACUUGAAACCUCUCUUUAGUCAUACAAAUUAUUAGUGGUUUUAGACUUUAUUUAAAAAAAAUGGUAGGAAUAAGCCACAGUUUUGCCUGAAAGCCUAAAACAUGUCUUGUAACUUUUCUUUUUCCUGUUCCUUCUCCUCAGCACACAGUAAGGCUGCCCUUUAGUGGUGGCACACAGCAUUACACCAAUCUUAACAAGUGUGACCCAUUAGUGCCUGCUAAUCAAAUUAAUGGCAAUUUAAUGGUACAAAUAGCAAUGUAUGUACAUGGUCACAAUUUUCGAGCAUGUGUAGAAAAGAGUUGUAUGUAAAAACGUUUUUAAAAGUAUGAAUAAAAUCUGUAAACAAAUUGUGUUACACAAAGACACUGACGGCAGCAAAUUGCACAUACAGCUCAAUUUAGGAGUACUGAGGUUUAGUGUGAAUCACACCUGAAUCUGAUUGGACGGUGACAAUCCAAUCACAGAGCAGAGUUAAAUUGUCCAAUCAGGUGGUAGCUGAGUUCUUCAAGUUAGUCUCCGGUGGUAGCUCUGUAAGUUUGGUUGUAGUCGAGAUGUAAGGCAGCAGCAGCAGUUCUGCAACUCAGGUGGGAUACUUUAUCUAGCGUUAGCCGAAUGCUAAUGUAGGACGUUAGCAAACCUCUGCUAGCAAGAAAAUUUUCAAGGGACAUGGACAAGAAUAUGGCACUUGCUGUGAGGAGGACAGACAGCAUUCUGGGCCCCUGUCACUCCUACAUAUGGACAUCAACUGCAAGUUGAUGAGAGAAAUCAGACAGUCCUAGAGUCAAAACAGGCAGAAAUCUUCAAAUGCUACAAAAUAAGUGCCUCCUCUAACGAAAACGAAGAGUCCAUCAGUAAACCACCACAGAUGCUCCUAGCGG